rnacentral:rRNA from 1 species
GACGAACGCUGGCGGCGUGCUUAACACAUGCAAGUCGAGCGGUAAGGCCCUUUCGGGGGUACACGAGCGGCGAACGGGUGAGUAACACGUGGGUGACCUGCCCUCAGCUCUGGGAUAAGCCCGGGAAACUGGGUCUAAUACCGGGUAUGACUUCAUGACGCAUGUUGUGGAGUGGAAAGCCUUGUGCGGCUGAGGAUGGGCCCGCGGCCUAUCAGCUUGUUGGUGGGGUGAUGGCCUACCAAGGCGACGACGGGUAGCCGGCCUGAGAGGGCGACCGGCCACACUGGGACUGAGAUACGGCCCAGACUCCUACGGGAGGCAGCAGUGGGGAAUCUUGCGCAAUGGGCGAAAGCCUGACGCAGCGACGCCGCGUGA